UACGAAGGGGGCUAGCGUUGUUCGGAAUCACUGGGCGUAAAGCGCACGCCGGCGGAUUGAUAAGUCGGGGGUGAAAUCCCGGGGCUCAACCUCGGAAUUGCCUUCGAUACUGUCUGUCUUGAGUCCGGGAGAGGUGAGUGGAAUUCCUAGUGUAGAGGUGAAAUUCGUAGAUAUUAGGAAGAACACCAGUGGCGAAGGCGGCUCACUGGCCCGGUACUGACGCUCAUGUGCGAAAGCGUGGGGAGCAAACAGG
rnacentral:rRNA from 1 species